GUAGCGUGAAGGAUGACUGCCUAUGGGUUGUAAACUUCUUUUAUACGGGAAUAAGUGAGCCACGUGUGGCUUUUUGUAUGUACCGUAUGAAUAAGGAUCGGCUAACUCCGUGCCAGCAGCCGCGGUAAUACGGAGGAUCCGAGCGUUAUCCGGAUUUAUUGGGUUUAAAGGGAGCGUAGGCGGGUUGUUAAGUCAGUUGUGAAAGUUUGCGGCUCAACCGUAAAAUUGCAGUUGAUACUGGCGACCUUGAGUGCAACAGAGGUAGGCGGAAUUCGUGGUGU
rnacentral:rRNA from 1 species